CUCCCUUUAUGUAAUUAGCAUCAAUAAAAUAUCUGUUCUUAUCAGCUUAAUAUCUGAUACGGGUCCUAUUUGGACCCAAGAUAUUAAUCUUAUUUUUGGAAUGCGGCGUAGUGCUUGAGGUUUACCUCACCUAUGCCACGGGUUGGCCCGGUAUUGCACUGCCUCCGGGAUCGGCCCACCCCCC
rnacentral:snRNA from 1 species